CUACGGGAUGCAGCAGUAGGGAAUCUUCCGCAAUGGACGAAAGUCUGACGGAGCAACGCCGCGUGAGUGAUGAAGGCUUUCGGGUCGUAAAACUCUGUUGUUAGGGAAGAACAAGUGCUAGUUGAAUAAGCUGGCACUUUGACGGUACCUAACCAGAAAGCCACGGCUAACUACGUGCCAGCAGCCGCGGUAAUACGUAGGUGGCAAGCGUUAUCCGGAAUUAUUGGGCGUAAAGCGCGCGCAGGUGGUUUCUUAAGUCUGAUGUGAAAGCCCACGGCUCAACCGUGGAGGGUCAUUGGAAACUGGGAGACUUGAGUGCAGAAGAGGAAAGUGGAAUUCCAUGUGUAGCGGUGAAAUGCGUAGAGAUAUGGAGGAACACCAGUGGCGAAGGCGACUUUCUGGUCUGUAACUGACACUGAGGCGCGAAAGCGUGGGGAGCAAACAGGAUUAGAUACCCGUGUAGUC
rnacentral:rRNA from 1 species